GCCCUUAUAGCUCAGUGGUAGAGCGCAUCACUCGUAUAAUCGUGGUCUAACAAUCACUAAUCCUAAAUAUGACAUGAUGAGGUCCAUCGUUCAAUCCGGUGUGAGGGCA